UACGUAGGGUGCAAGCGUUAAUCGGAAUUACUGGGCGUAAAGCGUGCGCAGGCGGUUAUGCAAGACAGAUGUGAAAUCCCCGGGCUCAACCUGGGAACUGCAUUGUGACUGCAUGGCUAGAGUACGGUAGAGGGGGAUGGAAUUCCGCGUGUAGCAGUGAAAUGCGUAGAUAUGCGGAGGAACACCGAUGGCGAAGGCAAUCCCCUGGACCUGUACUGACGCUCAUGCACGAAAGCGUGGGGAGCAAACAGG
rnacentral:rRNA from 1 species